UGCCUCAUACAUGCAAGUCGAACGAAAUCUUCGGAUUUAGUGGCGCACGGGUGAGUAACAUGUGGGAAUCUACCUGAAGGUUCGGAAUAACUGCGGGAAACUGUAGCUAAUACCGGAUGUGUCUGCAAAGAGAAAGAUUUAUCGCCUUCAGAUGAGCCCGCACUAGAUUAGCUAGUUGGUGAGGUAACUGCUCCACCAAGGCUACGAUCUAUAGCUGAUUUGAGAGGAUGAUCAGCCACACUGGGACUGAGACACGGCCCAGACUCCUACGGGAGGCAGCAGUAGGGAAUAUUGGACAAUGGGGGAAACCCUGAUCCAGCAAUGCCGCGUGAGUGAAGAAGGCCUUCGGGUUGUAAAACUCUUUCAUCAAUGAUGAUAAUGACAUUAAUUGAAGAAGAAGCUCCGGCUAACUUCGUGCCAGCAGCCGCGGUAAUACGAAGGGGGCUAGCGUUGUUCGGAAUCACUGGGCGUAAAGCGUAUGUAGGCGGAUCAAAAAGUUAGAUGUGAAAUCCCUGGGCUUAACCCAGGAACUGCAUUUAAAACUAGUGAUCUAGAAAUUGGUAAGGGUUAGUAGAAUUUCCAGUGUAGAGGUGAAAUUCGUAGAUAUUGGAAAGAAUACCAGAAGCGAAGGCGACUAACUAGGCCAUUUUUGACGCUGAGAUACGAAAGCGUGGGUAGCAAACAGGAUUAGAUACCCUGGUAGUCCACGCAGUAAACGAUGAGUGCUAGUCGCUGGGACAAUAGUUUCAGUGUCGAAGCUAACGCAUUAAGCACUCCGCCUGGGAAGUACGGU
rnacentral:rRNA from 1 species